rnacentral:lncRNA from 1 species
UUCCUGAGAGAUCCCAUGAUCCAGAGACAAAGGUGGCAGCCUUGGAGCAAGUGGAGAGCCAAGAAAAGGAUCCAGAACUGGAGUGGAAGCUGAAGCUAUGCCAUCUUUUAUGUCUGAUGAGGCAGUUUCAUCUGAUUUGAAGAUGAUGAAGAAAAUUUCUUUGCAAGGUUGCUUAUUGAAUAUUACUGGGAAAACAGGAAAAUUAGGAGGAAUGUUCUGGAGUGAUUUAUCUUUUUCAUCAGGGGCCUGCGUUCAGUCCAGCCACCAGAUCAACACAUUCUCCAAACUCAUUAACUUUGGAGAGGCUACCCAGAGUUCCUGAAGAGUUCAUCUGAAAAAUGUUGAAAUAGUCACGGCCCAUAGAAUCAAUGUUUUGGGUGCACCAAUGAAGAGUUAAACAGUAUGCAUUUGACCACACAUACU